rnacentral:lncRNA from 1 species
CUGGAACCUGCCUUUCGGACUCCCCAUCAGAAUGGGCAGAUUGCUGACUCUUGCUGGUUCUGCCCACCAGCUGACAUGCUACUUCGCCUGGCACCAGCCAGGCCCGGGGCACUUCCAGCCUGGCAUGACCCCUUCCUCUGUACUCACCCGACUUAUGCCAUUGCUGAGAGAUGUGGGAAAUGAGAUGGCACCAUUAAAUGAAAGGAUGUAACUCUCUGCCAAACUCUCCUUGAACUGAAAAACAAGAGUCAUGUGAAAACUCUCCCUGCUGUUGGCAGCUGGGAUUUCGGAGCCACUCCACGAACUUUUCAAGAUGAUUUUCUACACUGAUUUCACGACAAGGCUGUUGGGAUGACCAAGGCCUCACCCUGCCUUCUUUGGGCUGUUGGCUGCCACCGUUUCCACUACUGAGAACCCCCAGACUUCUAUCGCCUUAGGCACCAAAUUCCUGCGCCAGUAGGAGUUUGGAAGAACCCUGGCUCUCAGAAGCGCUCCUCAGGACAAGCGUCUCUUCCCCGUCCUGGUGCAGGUGAACUGUAUUCCAUUUGAUCUUGACUGGAAAGCAGACAACCAGUUUCUCAUGCAAGAAAACUGAGGCCACAUAGAAAGCCUAGCUCCUACAACCUCAGUUGGAGAGGAGGGAUCUGGAGACUCCAUUCCAGGGAGGAUGCGAGGAACGAAGGAUGGGAGAGACUAACUUAACUCAGAGUAGUGCUGGAAGUCAACGUUGAGUUGAUGUCCGCAGAUUUUCUUCUACGCAUGUGUGGAAUAUCCAUGGACGGAAAGCCGAGGAGAUCAACAAACCCAAGCUGAUGGUCACCGCUGCGGUAGCUGCUGGCAUCUCCAACAUCCAGUCUGGCUAUGAGAUCCCCCAGCUGUUCCAGUGAGUGAUAACAUGUCCCAUAACUCCUCUGUGUAUCAGUUGUGCAAGAGACACUCAUUCUUAGUCAGCCCGCUGUUCAGGAACCUUGUUUAGGCGGUUUGGGAAGUCUCAUCUUUUGCCUGCAUAGGAGUGGAAAGUAAUCAGAAAUGUCUUUGGGAGUUCCCGUUGUGGUACAGCAGGUUAAGAACCUGACCAGUAUCCAUGAGGAUGUGGGUUCGAUCCCUGGGUUAAAGGAUCUGGCCUUGCCACAAGCUGGGGGUGUAGGUCACAGAUGUGGCUUUGGUCCUGCAUUGCUGUGGCUGUGGCAUUGGCUGGCAGCUGCUGCUCUGAUUUGACCCCUAGCCUGGCAACUUCUAUAUGCCACAGGUGUAACUGUAAAAAGAAAAAUUUAAAAAAAGGAAAUAAAUAUCAGAGGCCAAAAAAUAAUAGAAUAUCUUUUAAACCCUAAAAAAAAAAAGUCAACCCAAUUCUGUGUUCAGUGAAAAUAUCCAAAAGUAAAGUUGAAAGACAUGUUUAGGUAAAUAAAAAAACAAAAAAGAAAUCCUUUACCAUACCUCAGGCACCUAGACUAGAUCCAUAUUGUGACUCAUGACCUCCAGGUUCCUGGGGUUGCGGGGGUGGCUACACUGGACAGAAGAGCUCUCUCUACAAAUACCCACCUGGCACUGGCAGUAUCACCAACCAUGUGGAGUCCCCGCACAGACCCAAAGGCAGACCAGGAAUGCUGCUGUAAAUCACAGGAAGGAUCAGGGACAAAAGGCAUCAUAAAUUUAGUAAUUUUGUUAAAUGAGAAAUCAGCCUGUUAUGUCAUUAGCCAGUUUCCACUUACUAAAAAUUCACCAAUUAAUUAAUACUGUACUGAUAAUUUUAUUAGAUAGGAAACAAGAUUAAAACCUGUGCUUUUUUUUAAAUAAAGAAGAUGAAGUACCAU